UACAGAGACGGCAAGCGUUGUUCGGAUUCAUUGGGCGUAAAGGGUCUGUAGGCGGCCGAUUAAGUCGGAUGUGAAAUCUCACAGCCUAACUGUGAGCGGUCAUUCGAAACUAGUCGGCUGGAGGACUGGAGAGGAGACUGGAACGGUCGGUGUAGCGGUGAAAUGCGUAGAGAUCGACCAGAACACCAGUGGCGAAGGCGGGUCUCUGGACAGUUCCUGACGCUGAGAGACGAAAGCCAGGGGAGCAAACGGG
rnacentral:rRNA from 1 species